UCUUACAUCUCUAUUAUAAUGAAAACAAACCGAAUACAUACAUCUCCAUUUGUGCACUUACACCAAGUCAAUGAAAUACAUUAUUUAGGGCACUUUAGCAACAGCCGCCUCAUCUCCCGCUCUAGCACACACAUAAACACGGGCAGCAGGUAGUAGUACAGCUAGCCCCCACUGUCCGUGUUGAUCUUUAUCUGUGCAGGCCUCAUAACUGACAUUUUCAAUUACACUGCAAACAACUAAUCGAUAUUCAUGGAUUUCCAGGUCAGCGAAGAGGCAAACAGAGCGGUUGGGCGUGCGUGUGCGCGUGCAGCGGGGGAGACAGCACGGGCUGGCAGGGGAGAGAAAUAGGGCAGACAUGUCAAGGUCGGGAUUCUGUUAAUGAGGGACUGCCGUCUGCAUAAUUGAAUGGGCUGCGCAGUAUCGACUGCUCAAGCAGAAGCGUUUAAAGCGGUCCAGGGCGAUCGUUAAGGAAAAUCCUCCCAGCACUUUAUGUUCCGUGGCAGUAAUUUAUGCACGGGCAUCCGGGCAGGCGCCCCACGGUUCACAGCACUGAAUGCAAACGGCAAUGAGUGGAUUACCCUUUCCAAACGGCAGCCAUGCGUGGCAGGCAUUUUUGCAAUUGAGGCUGCUGUUCUCGUAGGGCCGCACUCGUUUAUGUGUGCAAUUUAAAAACACAGUCAUGUCACACGCGUGCUCGCGUUCUCUGCAUGAUUUAAAGUAGCCGCUCAAUAUUCAAACGCACACACGCGCACUCACUCAACUGCAUGAAAUGGAGGAGGGUGGAGCGCAGUGAGAUUUUCAAUAUGUAUUGUGUGUAUCCAUCAGCAAAUAAUGUUCCUUGGGGACAAGUUAACUCCCAGUUGACCCUGGAUGCAAUGGACUGACAGUUGGGAAUUAUGCAAAAGGCACACUGAAGACUGUGUUUCUGGUGCAGACAGAAGCAGGAGAGGCAGGGGAUGACAGAUGCGCCAAUGAAUCAAACAGGGCACCUGGAGAGGUUUUACCACAGCCACAAAUACAUCACCGCAGCGGUAGAUGCGUUUUCCACCCAGCGUGAACUGCAGUCCUGUGGAUGUCAGUUAAAGUGACCCUAAAAUGGAAAGGGAAAUCAACAGUGCACAGGGCUAGGUAGUUUUGAAGAAAUGUGUCAAACAAAACCUGGACUGAAGCACACAUGGAUCGGACCCAUAAUUUUGCAGUGGUGUUAGAGGUCUUCUCUCACACUUUC